UGGGGUCUGGGGGGGUAAGAUGUACGCAGUCCAUACCUCUACCUCUGAUGAAGUAGAAAGGCUGUUUCCGAAAGACCCCCGGCUCAAGUUACGAGAUAUCAAACAAACACAUAGUACAGCACAGAAGCAGAUGACAUAACAUAAAUACGGCACCCAUAAGGAAUAUAAAACAGAGGAAAGCAGAGGAAAGCACACAGAUUCGUAAUAAGCAUGGAACACUGAAUACGGAAUCAUAACGGGUCUUCGCUUCGAGGGUCUUUAAUUAAAAAGAUUAAAAAAAAUUUAGACUAUUUCUUAAUUUUAUGUCUUGUAUUUUAUUUUUGUUUCGACUAUGUUAAUCCAUUGGGGUAACAUUUCUGCACAAAGACGAAAGUCUUGCAAUUAAUCCUAAACAUCUAUAUACUAGUUCAACAAUACUAAUUAUGUUUGAGAUGACAAAAAAAUUUGUUGAAAAAGUGUAUAAAAUUAAAGAAGGGUAUUUUUGUAAACAAAUAUUUUUUUAAUAGAAAUUAUGUAAGAUGUAUUAUUUCUUAUACAUCAAACCAAACAAUGUAUAAGAAAUAAUACAUGCAUAACUAAUACAAGCAUAAUUAAAACAAGCAUUACUAAUACAAGCAUUACUAACACACUAUAUUCUGCAUUGUUAUUAUACACUCUACCAAACGACCCCUAAUAGUAGGUCUAAUCCUUAUGAAAGCUAGGUAAAAUAAAUCUUAGGCUGCAUUUAUUUUUUUUAAAAUUCAGACGUCUGAAUCUGAAUGAUUAAGAUGUUGUCUCUAGAUCUGAAAACAAAAUGAUUAAGACUUUGUUUUUCAAUAUCUGAAUGUGCAAAAAAAUUUUAUUUGUAUAUAUAAUAAAUCAAAAAUACAAUUCAAAUAAGAAAUUAAUUAUAUAUUAGAAAAAUAUGUAAUUUAAUACAACAAAAUUAUUAUUUGAUUGAGAAAAGUUAUUUAUGUUUGUUAGUGAUAGUGAAGAUGGUUUAUAAUGGUGAUUGCGGUGGCAAUGAGUGAUGUUAAUGAUUAAUAAUGUUGGUGGUGAUUGAUAGCGGAACCAACCCCCAAUAUAGAAAUAAGACACGAACACAAGAGAAACCGAGAGCUCAACAAGAACACUCUCUCUGCAGUAGCUAAAACACAAGAGAACCGAGAAGACCAAGGGGAUAACAAGGUGUAUUUCUACACCAAAACAGUAGUGAUAACACAUGAUGAACACAGUAUAAUAAGAACAGCAACAAGAGAUAACAACAACCCACGGUUUUCACUAGAACAACAACAUACAAUUACAAGAAUGAAAGGGAUAGGUAGUGAGACAUUAACCCUUACAAGAACUAAGCACCUAGGUGUAUCUUAAAUACUAAAACCCUUAACUAUUGUAAAAGAAAUACCAACACUCUUACCAUGACACAAGAGGGCGUGGACCACUCAAGCAACAAGGUUUCUAACAAUGUUUUGCAAUACUAGUGAUUCCACACUAGCAUCACCCUCACUUCAGUUUGGUGGCUAUUCCAAGCCCUACAACUAAGGUAUUCCACUCCUCAUGCUAGAGAGAUUUUGGUUCAAGUGUCACAACUUUCAAUAUUAAUAGACAACUAAAGAACUAAAUACCUAAAACUAGUCUAUUUAUAGACUUAUUACAAACAUAAGUGAAAUGUCUCAAAUGCCCUUAAUGAAGGAAAGACAAAAGGUGCCUAUGGAGUGUAGUGUAUUGCCCAUUCUUGGUGUGUGAUAUGGUGUUCCUUUGCACUUUACUUGCACACUUUGAGUCUCGGGUUCGAUGGACACUCUCAUAAGUUCAUCUCCGUGAUUAUUCUUGUAUCAUAAAUUAAAUAAAAACCAAAAACAUUUAAAUCCCAAGAUUCUAAGUCAAUCUUUGAAUCAAAAGAUAUUUUGAAUGAUGUAAACUUAGCCCCCAAAGUCUAUCUCAUCUCUCUAGGAUCUAUAUGCUAAAAAAGUCUAAAGGGUAUUUAUAGAUUACAAGAAACCCUAGAAAUAUAAUCCUAAAUAAAAUAGGAAAACGUGAAUAAAUGUACAUAAUAAAAACUAACAAUAUCAUAGGAGUGUAUGUAGGUUACAUAGAAAUCCAAUGAAAUCAAUUCAAAAUGAUCUAGGAAAAUUAUGUCGGUGACCAUCUAUGGGCCUACCUACAGGUUGUAGGUAUACCUACACCCCUUAAGUGGGGGCCAUAGGUGUACCUACACCCAUUAGGUGGGGGAUGUAGGUGUACCUACGCCCCUAAUGUGGGGGCCGUAGGUAGUUCUUGAAAAUUUGUUCUCUGGAUCUUGAUUUCUGACACCUAUGAACCCACCUACAUCCUGCUGAUGGUACCUAUAGGAUGUAGGUGCCAAGGUAAGUGGUUAUUUUUUAGAUUUUCAUUCUGUUUUCUUUCAGUUAGCUUCCAACACCUAUUUUCCUAUAAAAUCACUCUAAAACACAUAAAAUCCAACAAAAUAACCCGAAUUACAUAUAUAUUCUCCAAGUUUAAGCAUCAUAAGUGGCAUGAAACCAUGGCACAUUAACCAUCUUGCUAGAUUAGCAGUUUUGUUGGUUGAUUCAUCUAAAGGUAAUAUGUUGGUUUAAAAAUUUUUUGAUAGCUAAGGUAAAAUAAAAACAAGAGAGUGAUUCUAUUUUGCUUUUGUUUAAAGAUACAGUCAAAAGUUAGAUGGUUGAGGUUUUCUCCUAAGGGUGGAUGGUGUUCUUUGUUGUCAAGGUAGACUAUAUGUUCAAGAUAUGUAUGAGUUGAGAUAGAAGAUACUUGAAAAAGCUCAUAGUUCUUGUUAUUCAAUUCACUCAAGAGCCACUAAGAUGUACUGUGAUCUAUGGAAAGUCUAUUGGUAGAAUGGCAUGAAGAAGGAUAUCGUAGAAUUAUUGGCAUGGAGAAGGAUAUCGCAGAAUUAUUUGAUAUGUGUCCAACCUUACACCAGGUUAAGGCUAAUUACCAAAGACUUUUUGGUAUUAUUUAGGAUAUCAAUAUUCCUACUUGGAAGUAGAAAGUGAUAAAUAUGGACUCUAUCAUAGGGCUGACUCAUACUCACAGAAAACAUGAUUAUAUUUGUUUUAUUAUAGACAAAAUAGAUAAGUCAACCCAUUUCUUACUAGUUAAUACUUCAUAUCAAACUAAGUAUUAUGCUAGACUCUAUGCUAAGUGUUAGUGAAAUAGUAUAGAGUCCCUUUGACUAUUAAUUAAGAUAGGGGUACUCAAUUCACCUCUAAGUUCUAAAAGACUUUUCAUAAAGGUAGUUGGGAUGAUCAUUUUCUUCUAAUUGAGUUUGAAUUUAAUAAAAAUUAUCACUCUAAUAUUCAGCUAGCCUAUUUGUAGCACUUUGUAGUAGGUUAUAUAGGUCUCUUAUUGGUUAAAAAAAAAAGAUGCCCAACAUUUACUCUCAUGUAGCAUUGCUUGUUUAACAACCAUUUAUAAAACUUACAUUUUACUUUGAUAACUAUGCUACUAUGGCAUAAUACUCACGUAAUCCUCCUCCAUUUUUCUCAUAUUAUUUUGGUUAGGUGUGUUACAUAUCCACCUAUGACCCAUAAUGUCAUUCUCUUGAAAUACUGAGCCUAGAUACAUGUAUUGUUCGCAAUCCUGUGUAAUCACCUCAAAUUCAAUCUCUGAUUGUAUCUAUAUGUGUCGCGCAUGUACUAUGUCUUGCUUCUACUCAUCUUAAAUUCUUACUCUCUAGAAUGGUUCUGCAUGGUUCUACUUAUCCUAAACUCUUACUAUCUAGAGUGCUUCUGCAUAGUUCAAGCUCUUAGUCGACUCCCUCACUAGUUUCAUCAAUUAACAAAUUAUUGUUUGCAAAUAUUAUGCACAAUGGAACUCUAUCUUGCAAAAAUAUUUGUUAACUCAUACAUAACUAGAGUAAAUUAGUAAAGGCUCAAGACAAAUCCCUGCUGUGAACCCUGGUUAUGAGGAACUCAUUUAUACCUCCUCCCAUGGUCCUCACAUUUGUGACGGUUCCUACAUAUAUAUUUUAGGCGUUCUCCAAAACCGGAAACUCUCUGGAUCUCACACUUUCUCUCUCCAUAUGACCCAAAAUGCAAAUUUCAUAUAUUAGACCAAAUGUGAUAUGUGUACUAUAGUUUGAGACAUUGACAAAAAUCAUUUACACUACAUACGAGCAAUUCUUAAACUCUUUCAACAGGCAUGUCUUUUUCAAAAAUACAGUAUCACANNNNNNNNNNNNNNNNNNNAUAUAUAGAGAGAGAGAGAGAGAGAGAGAGAAGUUAUAGUUAAAAAGCUAAUUAAUUUUCAUUACCUUCAGGAUGAGAGGUUUCAUUAUGAUCUUGAUCAUAUGAGUCAUUAUUUUCAGGAACUGUAUUCACAUAAGCUCCCUCAUUAAUAUCUUGUAAGCCCAAAGCAAAAGCUGCCGCACGACUUUUGCCCAUUUCUUGCACCACCCGAGCUGCUGCAUGAAGUACAGGCCGAGAGAAACUGCGGAACGAACUCUCUAACCUGUCAAAAUGAAGGGAGUUAGCUGACCAAUUCAUCAAGAGAAAGUUUAGAAUGGCUUGGUUUUGUUUGGUUUGGAGGUAUGGUGGGGUGAGGUUGGCAAGAGAGCAAAAGGACAAGCUUGAAGACCUCCUCAUCACAAGUUUGAUCAGAGGUUGAGGACGCCUCGUCUUUGAAGACUUGUCUUUGGAGUACUUUGAAGGAGUGGCAUCCUUUGAUUCAGAAUUUAAGUCUUUAGCUGAAGGUGCUUCUGGAAGCUUGAGAAUUUCUCUGGUCAGUCUGUACCAUCCAGCGGCUCGUUCCUCAGUCCUGUAGAGUCCAAAAGUCCACAGAAAAUUAAAUGUUCAAUCUUAUAAAUUAGGCAGUCAUCUGUGAAAUUAGGAAAAGAGAAGUUCUGUAGAUGAAGCUACCUCUCAGCAUUAUCAACUUUACCCAGCACACAAAGGAUAGCCUCAAAACAAACUCUUUCACUAGGAUCAAGAAGCAGCUGAUACAGCACCGAAUUGAACUGAGCCUUGAUGUCUGGCCUUUCUGCACACACCAUAUGGAACUCACCAGCAAUCAGCCUAAUUAUCGACUCCCAGUACCCAAACAGAAAAGGAACGUGCUUGCUAAGACUACAUUUCAAACAGACAUACCAUCUAAUGACCGAGCUCUGGAUAUACUGUGGCACAGCCUGGCAAGUGCAACUCUAGCAAGAACAUCAUGCAUAUGGAGUACAUCUUGUAGAGCCCCUAAUUCAAACAUAUUCUGAUAGUAUUAACGGCUAAUAAAUGACUACAAUCAGAGAUAUAAAACAAACUUACCACCAGGCUGCACAUGUUUCCAUACAAAGGACAAAAAAGCUAUAGUCAAAAAAUCAACUCACAACCAUCUAUCAGAUACAUCCACAAAGUAACUCCCCUUUUCUAAUAAGGACAUCCAUCGAGAAACUCAACUUAUUUCAUGAAUAUACUAUAACGAUGCCCUUUCCCGAGGUCUUAGCAAAAGACACUACAGCAAAAUAAUCUUAACAACCAAAUGUUAAAGCAAUGCUACUUGGCAAGUGAAAACGCAUAAGAAAAUAAAUACAAAGGUAUUGAUCAAAAAGGAAUAUUAGUGCAGUUCGGAAACAUAGUCCUACUUAAGGAGUCCACAUACAGAUCAAUAUAAACUCAUGAAAGUUUGAAGAUAUCCCAGACGCCCAGAACUUUGCAAUAGGUAGGCCUUUUCCUCGGCUUAUUCUACACUUCUUGGGGGUGUUUGGAUUGGCUUUCUUUAAGUUGCUUAUAAGCUAAAAGCUAAAAUCUAAAGCCAUAACGUGGGAAUUCCCAACUUUUGGCUUUUAGCUUAUUUUUGUAUUUCUUCAGCCUGAAAGAAAGUGCUUAAAAGCACUUUUUGUUUUUCCAAACAACUCAACAACAACAACAACAUACCCAGUAUAUUCCCACCAAGUGGGGUCUGGGAAGGGUAAGUGUACGCAGUCCAAAAAUUAAAAAAAAAAAGAAGCUUAAAAGCCAAAAGCUACUAAAAUAAGCCAAACCAAACACCCUCUUACUAAUUGAACUGGGGUCUGCUUACACGACACAUCAUUCAUUCUACUGUUUAAGGAUUUCCUUCUCUUCUCUUCAACUGAUGAAGUAGGGAUUCUCAAGUUUUCUUUUCCCAUUCAAAAAGGGAGCACUUCAAAAACUUAUUAAGAAAUAUGAGAAAACCCAAUGGAGUUCCUUCUUUUUCAUUUUUAGGGAAUGUGAGGACCUUGACAAAAUUCAAACUUUCCAAUGGAGAAAACCAAAACUGUUCAUGCCCUUGUACCUUCCAAGUAUCCCUAUUUACUUAACACAACUACGCGAUUUAUCUAACAUCACUUCCCCUGAUCUCAUUGUCUUUUACGUCCUUGUUCAAGAGAUUGCACUAUUUCUUUAAACCACAAUGAAUUCAAAGUGGUCCCUCCAACAUGUCUCAAACAACUGGCUACAAUCGCAGUUGCUUUUUUUGUGAAGUAAAAGGGAUAUUCAAUAAAAGGUAUCAAAAAGAUGCAUAACUGAAAAAGAGGAAGGAUUAAAAUGCUCCAGAACAAAUGAGUCUAUGGCUCUGUUACUAUCAGGGAGCUAAUAAAAUCCACAAACAGAUAAGUACUAUAAACAGGGGUGAGAUAAUUAGUUAAAAAGAUUAACUAAACAAGCAGCUUUUGAGGUAGCUGGUUGGAGUCGAGAUGCUGUCAAAACACCUUCGGUUUCUCUCUGUUAAGACACACCAAAAAAUUACUGCUGGACCCAUUUUCCAGAUUUGCUUGAUGGUUUUAUCAACUAUCCAGGAAUACCAGCUUUCAUAGACUUGCUUUAUUGUGUGGCAUAACCCAUUUCAGAUCAAAAGUAAAUCUUUUACAAUUGGGCAGUGAAGGGGGAGGUGAUUGACACUUUCUCAGCUUUGCUGACACAUGUAGCAUCCGUUAACUAGUGUAAUAUUUUUUUUUAAGGUGACAUUUGUAUUGAUUUCAACAAAACCAUAAAGGUUAUAGUUAAAAGCUACAUCUAGGCUUGGUUAGCAACAACAUACCCAGUGUAUUCCCAUCAAGUGGGAUCUGGGGAGGGUAAAGUGUACGCAGUCCAUGCCACUACCUCAGAUGAAGUAGAGAGGUUGUUUCUGAUAGACUUUCGGCUCAAGACAGAUAACAAUAUAACAAAAAAACACAUAAAAACAAGCAACAACAAGGGAUAUCACACCGCUAGAUAGUAAAGGAUGAUAAUGGAAACAAGACAUGCAUAAGGUUAUACUAUGAAAUAUCUAUCCAAAUAACAUAACAUAGAUAUCACUAAUACACCACGAGCACGAGACUACAAGAAACUAAAAGGCACAGCUGCAGACAAAGCAAUCUUCCCUACUACCACAGACGUACUCCUACACACUAACCCUCUACCCUAACCCACAUCCUCCACACCUUCCUAUCAAGGGACAUGUCCUCUGUAAGUUGUAACUGCUCCAUGUCAUGUCUAAUUACCUCCCUCCAAUAAUUUUUUGGCAUACCUCUACCCUGCCUAAAAUUCAUCCAUAGUUAGCCCCGCACACCUCCGUACUGGAGCAUCAAUGCCCCUCUUCAUCACAUGCCCGAACCAUCGCAACCUCACUUCCCGCAUCUUGUCCUCCACUGAAGUCACUCUCAUCUUCUCCCGAAUAAUCUCAUUUCUAACUCUAUCCCUCCUGGUAAGUCCACACAUCCAGCGCAACAUCCUCAUUUCCGUCACCUUCAACUUGUGGAUAUGGGAGUUAUUAACUAGCCAACACUCCGCUCCAUACAAUAUAGUCGGUCGGACUGCCACUCUAUAGAACUUAUCUUUGAGCUUAAGAGACGCGGGCCUUUAUUUCAACCACCCUGCACCAAUACGGUGCGUGACAUCCUCAUCAAUCUCCCCAUUCCCUUGAAUCAUAGACCCAAGAUACUUGAAACUCUCCCUGUUCUGAACGACCUGGGAAUCAAGCUUCACUACCACGUCCGCCUCGUGCGACAAAUCACUAAACUUACAUUCCAAGUACUCCGUCUUAGUCCUGCUCAACCUAAAUUCUUUAGACUCAAGGGUCUAUCUCCAAGGCUCCAACUUAUCAUUAACUCCUCCCCGAGUCUCAUGAAUCAGUACAUCAUGAGUAAAUAACAUACACCAAGGCACCUCCCCUUGAAUACUCCGCGUCAAAACAUCCAUCAUCAAGGCAAACAAAAACGGGUUAAGAGUCGAUCCCUGGUGCAACCCUGUCAAAAACGGAACGUGCUCUGAAUCUCCUCCUGUCGUCCUCACACGAGUCUUCACGUUGUCGUACAUGUCCUGAAUCAACCUAGUGUACGCCACGUAAGGCUGGCAACGGACCGGAACCGAUACCGCCUGACCGGUUUGACCGGAACCGAAAUCGAAACCAGAACUGCCUUACCGAAAUUGUCGCCGGAACCGGUAUUACCGGAACCGGAAUACCGGAUUUUUUGCUUCCAACGCACCGGUCCGUUGGUUACUAGUGUGGAACCGGUUCGGACCGGAACGACACUGGAGCUAUACCAGAAGAGAUGCCGGAGCUGGUAAGUUAUGUACCGUUCUUGACAGUUUUUUUUUUUUAAUUUAAAUUAU
rnacentral:lncRNA from 1 species